AUUGAACGCUGGCGGCAGGCCUAACACAUGCAAGUCGAACGAGUGGCGGACGGGUGGGUAAUGUCUGGGAAACUGCCCGAUGGAGGGGGAAAACUACUGGAAACGGUAGCUAAUACCGCAUACCAUCGGAUGUGCCGAGAUUGGAGUAGCUAGUAGGUGGGGUAAAGUCUCACCUAGGCGACGAUCCCUAGCUGGUCUGAGAGGCUGACCAGCCACACUGGAACUGAGACACGGUCCAGACGCCUACGGGAGGCAGCAGUGGGGAAUAUUGCACAAUGGGCGCAAGCCUGAUGCAGCCAUGCCGCGUGUAUGAAGAAGGCUUUCGGGUUGUAAAGUACUGUCAGCGGGGAGGCGUUACCCGAAGAAGAAGCACCGGCUAACUCCGUGCCAGCAGCCGCGGUAAUAC
rnacentral:rRNA from 1 species